GGUUAUGCUAAUAAGAGCGUAUGGUGGAUGCCUUGGCACUAAGAGCCGAUGAAAGACGUGAUAAGCUGCGAAAAGCUUCGG
rnacentral:rRNA from 1 species